rnacentral:snoRNA from 1 species
AAGGGGGAACGUCCUUGCGAUGCUGGUUGCUGCUAUAUGAGCUUCUAGUUACUAUAUACCCGUUUACAUAU